CUGUGUACCACUAGUGCCACAAAGGCCUUUGGUGGUCUUAUUGGCGCAUACCACGGUGGGGUCUUCGACUGGGGUGAAGUCGUAACAAGGUAGCCGUAGGGGAACCUGUGGCUGGAUUGAAUCCUUCGCGAUGGAAAUGCCCUCGCCUACUUGACUAAACUAAGGACCUCAACGGUAUAAACAUGUAGAUUUUCUACUUUUCCAUUUUCCUUCUUGUUUAUCAAUCACCAAUCAAGACAAACCGGGCACUACGGUGAGACGUGAAAACACCCGAUCCCAUUCCGACCUCGAUAUAUAUGUGGAAUCGUCUUGCGCCAUAUGUACUGAAAUUGUUCGGGAGACAUGGUCAAAGCCCGGAGAAAGAGCAAGAAAACUAAAGAAAGCGCUAGCACAAUUUGGAUUUCGAGUCCAAUGCGCUAACGCUUUCUUUAGUUUUCUUGCUCUUUCUCCGGGCUUUGACCAUGUCUCCCGAACAAUUUCAGUACAUAUGGCGCAAGACGAUUCCACAUAUAUAUCGAGGUCGGAAUGGGAUCGGGUGUUUUCACGUCUCACCGUAGUGCCCGGUUUGUCUUGAUUGGUGAUUGAUAAACAAGAAGGAAAAUGGAAAAGUAGAAAAUCUACAUGUUUAUAC